CGCAAGGAACAAAAUAUUUACCAUAUAUUAUAUUUUGUUUGGUAGCUUUGCCAUUGAUAAUGAUAUUGAAAAAUGUAUUAUUAAUAAUAAUAGUAAACUUGUUGUGAUAGUGUUUGUAAUAUACUUCAAAAACUCAUUAAUAUUCAAUAGCCAUUUUAUCCAAUCCGAUGACGAGAUUUAGUCACAAGGAUGAGGUUUUAUAGCACAUAAUCCCCUCUUCAUUCUAAAAGUGUGGGGAGGGAAUUGAAUUAAUCUCCAGGGAAUUAUGGGGAGCAAUAGCGACUUCAAAGAGAUGCAUAUUAGGAUGAACAUUUUAUAUAAAGAAUACUAACGCAGGUGAAAUUUUAUAUUAAAACUUCAUCCUAAUUUGCAUAUGAAAUAAAACUAAAAUACAUAAAGAGCUCUCUAGAUUAUAAUGUCAAAUAUCAAAUAGUCAUUACACGUUUAAUCACUUUGUAGUGAAAUUGAUGGUGCAGUGUUUGAAAGUACAAGCUGUGAGCGUAGUAGGUUGAUGGUGCAGUGUUUGAAAGUACAAGCUGUGAGCGAAGUAGGUUGAUGGUGCAGUUAUUGAAAGUACAAGCUGUGAGCGAAGUAGGUUGAUGGUGCAGUUAUUAAAAGUACAAGCUGUGAGCGUAGUAGGUUGAUGGUGCAGUGUUUGAAAGUACAAGCUGUGAGCGUAGUAGGUUGAUGGUGCAGUUAUUGAAAGUACAAGCUGUGAGCGAAGUAGGUUGAUGGUGCAGUUAUUGAAAGUACAAGCUGUGAGCGAAGUAGGUUGAUGGUGCAGUUAUUGAAAUACAAGCUGUGAGCGUAGUAGGUUGAUGGUGCAGUGUUUGAAAGUACAAGCUGUGAGCGAAGUAGGUUGAUGGUGCAGUUAUUGAAAGUACAAGCUGUGAGCGAAGUAGGUUGAUGGUGCAGUUAUUGAAAGUACAAGCUGUGAGCGUAGUAGGUUGAUGGUGCAGUUAUUGAAAGUACAAGCUGUGAGCGUAGUAGGUUGAUGGUGCAGUUAUUGAAAGUACAAGCUGUGAGCGUAGUAGGUUGAGCUGGUGGUGCAGCCUCAGGCAAAGCAAUGUUAGCCAAGAAAUCGUCGGAAACAUC